rnacentral:rRNA from 1 species
GACGAACGCUGGCGGCGUGCUUAACACAUGCAAGUCGAACGGAAAGGCCCUGCUUUUGUGGGGUGCUCGAGUGGCGAACGGGUGAGUAACACGUGAGUAACCUGCCCUUGACUUUGGGAUAACUUCAGGAAACUGGGGCUAAUACCGGAUAGGAGCUCCUGCUGCAUGGUGGGGGUUGGAAAGUUUCGGCGGGUGGGGAUGGACGCGCGGCUUAUCAGCUUGUUGGUGGGGUAGUGGCUUACCAAGGCUUUGACGGGUAGCCGGCCUGAGAGGGUGACCGGCCACAUUGGGACUGAGAUACGGCCCAGACUCCUACGGGAGACAGCAGUGGGGAAUAUUGCACAAUGGGCGGAAGCCUGAUGCAGCAACGCCGCGUGCGGGAUGACGGCCUUCGGGUUGUAAACCGCUUUCGCCUGUGACGAAGCGUGAGUGACGGUAAUGGGUAAAGAAGCACCGGCUAACUACGUG